AGGUCUGUGAGAUGCAUUGAGAUUAACAAAGAAUCAAAGCUAUCCUUUGAGAAGGCGGCUGCCCGCCUGCCAAACAUAGUAGAUAGCAGCAUCAGCUGGCAUCAUGCAGACACUUCUAAGUUGGGACUUGAAAGUUGCAUAUAUUGAAGAAGUUGGGAAGACUAGGUUUGGGAAUUUAAGGAUUUUGCUAACCAACUCCAGCAUCUUCCGCAGCUGCAACUGAAACAAUCACCUUUCGAACAAUCGGAGCACUUACUAUUUUGAACAACCUCCAGCAGCAACUUUUGCUAGAUUAACUUAUAACCCUUUUGUAGAGCUAGCAUUUUUGCACCAACUCCAGUUGAAUGGACUUCAACUAAAAGGAAAAAUAUCAAAGUGCGUUGGUAAUUCAUUAAUAACGGUACAUCCUGCAGCAAAGCGCGGGGAAGUUUUCUAGUAUAUACUAUGAAGCAAUCCGGAUACUUGAUGUUUCAAGAAAGGUUGUAGUUUUACUCAAUUUAUGAUGUACUUAAGGAAAUAAGAUGUAUUGAUUCGAUUUUGGGGUGGUUUGUAUGUCCAAAAUCUA